GAGAAAGCCGCCUCACUACCCGUGGCUGUCCCUCUUCUCGCACAGCGCUGAGCGAGCCGAGUCCUAGCGUGGCUUCCUCCCCUGCGACCCCCGACUGUCAGGCUCAGCUGCUGCCCACCCCUCCCUGAAGUCAGCAGCAAAGUGGCCUGGACCAGCCUCAAAGCGUACACUUGCAGCAGCCCCUCGUUUAGGUGUCUGGACCCCAAGAAAUGGGAUUAAUACAAUGAACACCUACCUUCCAGAAGUUCAAUUUGUUGAUGAAUCAGUAUCUGAUCUAUCUAUUACAGGAAAAAAAAAGUGGUAAGUAUUUGUCAAGUGAAGGUUUUUUUAAGCCAACCAAAUUAAAAUUCAUGUAUUUAUAUUUUUAAAGUACAUGUAAUCAAUUAUCAAUAUUUAAUAGCUUAUAUUACUUUUUAGUGUAAAACAAGUUAAUAUUUUUAAUAAAAUAUUUAUUGUGUUCACAAUUAAUGUGUGAAAAUUUAGAUCAAAUAAAAUUGAUUUACACUGGACUAACUUUAAAAACUAGAAAAUUGAUACAAAUGCUCGGUACUUUUAUGAAAAAAUGCUCAACAUCACUAAUCACCAGGGAAAUGCAAAUCCAAACCACAAUGAAAUACUAUAUUGUUGCCCAAUUAAGAAUGGCUAUUAUCAAAAAGACAAAAACUAACAAAUAUUGGUGAAAAUGUGGAGCAGGGGAAAUUUGGUGAGAAAGUAAAUUAGGACAGCCAUUAUGUAGUACUUCCUCAAAAACUAAAAUUACAGCUACCAAAUUAUUCAGCAAUCCCACUACUGUUUUUUUCAAAACAGUAUUUUUUCAAAUUUUUCCAAAAUUUUCAAAACAAAAAUUUCAAAGGAAAGGAAAUCUAUGUGUCAAAGGGGUAUCUGCACUGUCAUGCUUUUUACAGCACUAGGAGUCAACAUGUAGAAUCAACCUAAGUGUUCAUCAAUAGAUAAAUGAAUAAAGAAAAAUUCUUUUUUUUUUUUUUUUUGAUAUGGAAUCUCACUCUGUC